CUAUCAGAAAGAUUCAAAGCUGAGGCAGAAAAAGGUCUAUGUGUCUCGCUAACCCUAAACUAAAUUCAUCCAGUUCAACUUUCAUUACCAAGUCUUUUUGAGAAGUCCAAAGAAGGAAGAUCAAAUUUGGAAAAGAAUCUUUGCUUGAUAUAAAACUCAAUGGCAGAGAGACAGAGAAAUCAAAGUAGAAUUUCAGAAUAGGAGGGAACUUUUAGAAUAAGACCCAUCAUCUCUCUUUUACAGAUGGGCAAACAGAAGUCCAGAGAGGGAAAGAGGUCGAUAGAGUGUCACACAGCAAUCCAGUGUCAGAAUUGGGACUAGAAUUUAUUUCCUUUAAUCCCAGACUUGGGGCUUUCCGUGUACUACAGAAGGGGACAACACUCUUCAGCACUGGGAAGGGGAGGAGGGGAUCUUCUGGAAUUAUGGCUUGUCCUCAUUUCACAGAGUUGUACUCCAGCAGAGCUGUAAAGUUAAGAGUCCUAUAAACAUUACCUUAUUAAGGCUUCUUGGAAACCCAAGAUCACAACUCCUGUGGAUCAUGGGACAUGAGCUGAGCAUCCAGUGAACAAACAGAUGGUAGUUUGGUGCCAGAACACCUCCCUCCUGCUGCUCAAGGACCUGUCUCCAGGCCGCUUCCGUUCCUCGUCUCAGCCUCUCGCAAUGGGCUUUCCACGGAUGCAGCGCAAAGCACUCGGCCCGGUGCAGAGUUCUCGGGCAUUGAAAUGGUGGCGGUCUCGCCACAGCUCACGCUGCUGGUUUUUGUCUUUGUUCUUGAAGACGAAUUAUCUCCUGUUUAUUAUCUCCUGUUUAAGCACUAACAGAAGCAUAACUUACAUUUCACAGCCUUCAGAGUGGACUUUACAUAAACGCAAUGUUUCUGUUGGGCCGGCUUUACCUUCCCUCUGGAAUCUGCUGGAGGUGUUUGGAGCGUUGGACUGGGCCACUGCGCAGGGGUGGGGAGCGGGGUCACAGCCUUCCCUAUCCCAUCAUCUCCUACCUGCACCUCAGGGCAUGCACGCGAAUGGAAUCCAUCUUCUUGGUUUGGAAAAGAAGGGGAUGAUCCUAUCGGCGAAACCUCCGUGUCAGGCUCUUGCACCUCAACUGUGA
rnacentral:lncRNA from 1 species